UCUCUACAUCAAAAACUGAUAAAAGGCCA
rnacentral:piRNA from 1 species